GUCCACUCUAGAGAUAGAGCUUCCCUUCGGGGGCAGAAUGACAGGUGGUGCAUGGUUGUCGUCAGCUCGUGUCGUGAGAUGUUGGGUUAAGUCCCAUAACGAGCGCAACCCUUAUUGUUAGUUGCCAGCAUUCAGUUGGGCACUCUAGCGAGACUGCCGGUGAUAAACCGGAGGAAGGUGGGGAUGACGUCAAAUCAUCAUGCCCCUUAUGGGCUGGGCUACACACGUGCUACAAUGGACGGUACAACGGGUUGCGAUGCCGCAAGGCGCAGCGAAUCCUACAAAGCCGUUCUCAGUUCGGAUUGUUCUCUGCAACUCGAGAGCAUGAAGCCGGAAUCGCUAGUAAUCGCGGAUCAGAAUGCCGCGGUGAAUACGUUCCCGGGUCUUGUACACACCGCCCGUCACACCACGAGAGUUCGUAACACCCGAAGCCGAUUAAGUAACCUCUUUGAGGAGCUGAUCGUCAAAGGUGGGAUGAAUGAUUGGGGUGAAGUCGUAACAAGGUAAGCGUAGCGAG
rnacentral:rRNA from 1 species